rnacentral:rRNA from 1 species
UAAAGAUUCAUCGGCUGCGGAUGGCCAUGCGGCGCAUUAGCUAGUCGGCGGGGUAACGGCCCACCGAGGCGACGAUGCGUAGGGGUUCUGAGAGGAAGGUCCCCCACACUGGUACUGAGACACGGACCAGACUCCUACGGGAGGCAGCAGUGAGGAAUAUUGGUCAAUGGCCGGGAGGCUGAACCAGCCAAGUCGCGUGAGGGAAGACGGCCCUACGGGUUGUAAACCUCUUUUGUCAGGGAGCAAGAGGCGGGUCGAGACCUGCUGUGAGAGUACCUGAAGAAAAAGCAUCGGCUAACUCCGUGCCAGCAGCCGCGGUAAUACGGAGGAUGCGAGCGUUAUCCGGAUUUAUUGGGUUUAAAGGGUGCGCAGGCGGAGGCACAAGUCAGCGGUAAAAUCGCGGGGCUCAACCCCGCUCCGCCGUUGAAACUGUGUCCCUUGAGUGCGCGAAGGGUAGGCGGAAUGCGUGGUGUAGCGGUGAAAUGCAUAGAUAUCACGCAGAACUCCGAUCGCGAAGGCAGCCUACCGGCGCGCAACUGACGCUCAUGCACGAAAGCGUGGGUAUCGAACAGGAUUAGAUACCCUGGUAGUCCACGCAGUAAACGAUGAAUGCUAUCUGUCCGGCCGGAAUGACGGCUGG